UACAGAGGGGGCAAGCGUUAUUCGGAAUUAUUGGGCGUAAAGGGCGCGUAGGCGGCCUGGCAAGUGGAAGGUGAAAUCCCUCGGCUUAACCGAGGAACUGCCCUCCAAACUGCUUGGCUUGAGUCCGGGAGAGGUGAGUGGAAUUCCCAGUGUAGCGGUGAAAUGCGUAGAUAUUGGGAGGAACACCAGUGGCGAAGGCGGCUCACUGGCCCGGUACUGACGCUGAGGCACGAAAGCGUGGGGAGCAAACAGG
rnacentral:rRNA from 1 species